rnacentral:rRNA from 1 species
UACGUAGGGGGCGAGCGUUGGCCGGAAUUAUUGGGCGUAAAGCGCGUGUAGGCGGCUUGGUAAGUCCGGUGUGAAACCUUGGGGCUCAACCCCAAGCCUGCACUGGAUACUGCCUCGCUUGAGUCCGGGAGGGGAGAGCGGAAUUCCUAGUGUAGCGGUGAAAUGCGCAGAUAUUAGGAAGAACACCGGUGGCGAAGGCAGCUCUCUGGAACGGUACUGACGCUGAGACGCGAAAGCGUGGGGAGCGAACAGG